rnacentral:rRNA from 1 species
GAGUUUGAUUCUGGCUCAGGAGGAACGCUGGCGGCGUGCCUAACACAUGCAAGUCGAGCGAGAAAUAAAGAAACGGAGAAUUCGUUCAAAGAUUCUUUAUGGAAAGCGGCGGACGGGUGAGUAACGCGUAGGCAACCUGCCUCAUACAAAGGGAUAGCCUCGGGAAACCGGGAUUAAAACCUUAUAAAACCGAAGGAGCACAUGCUUCAUCGGUCAAAGAUUUAUCGGUAUGAGAUGGGCCUGCGUCUGAUUAGCUGGUUGGUGAGGUAACGGCUCACCAAGGCGACGAUCAGUAGCCGACCUGAGAGGGUAAACGGCCACAUUGGAACUGAGACACGGUCCAAACUCCUACGGGAGGCAGCAGUGGGGAAUAUUGCACAAUGGGCGAAAGCCUGAUGCAGCAACGCCGCGUGAGUGAUGAAGGCCCUUGGGUCGUAAAACUCUGUGAGAGGGAAGAAAAAA